CACGCAGGCGGUUUGCUCAGUCCUAUGUGAAAGCCCGGGGCUCAACCCCGGAAUUGCAUGGGAUACUGGCAGACUGGAGACUGGUAGAGGCUAGCGGAAUUCCUGGUGUAGCGGUGGAAUGCGUAGAUAUCAGGAAGAACACCUGUGGCGAAGGCGGCUAGCUGGGCCAGAUCUGACGCUCAUGUGCGAAAGCGUGGGGAGCAAACA
rnacentral:rRNA from 1 species